rnacentral:misc_RNA from 1 species
GAGAAAUUCGCCCUCACGGGUGACUCUCCAACCCUAUGUUAUUGUACCUUCGUUGCUUUGGCGAGCCGCCUCGUGCCACCGACUCUCGCCGGUGAGUGCUCGCCAGAGGACCACAACUCUGUAUUAAAUGUCGUCUGAGUACUAUAAAAUAGUUAAAACUUUCAACAACGGAUCUCUUGGUUCU